GGAGUGGUGGCUUAGUGGUUAGAGCAGGAGGUUUGUGUUCCUGACACAAGGGGCUGGGUUCAUAUCCCACAGAUUGCCACUCUG